GGACAUGAGGGCGAUCCGGCUGAGCCGUCUGUUACCCUAUUGAUCGCCAGGGUUCAUUCGGCUGACCUGGCUGGCUAGGCUUGUGUGCUCUUCUUCCCUCACCGCUCUACGUGCAUCCCUCCUGUCCCUCCCUCUGUGGAAGAGGACGUCCCCCAGAGAAGAGGACCAGUCUUUGAUCAAAGGUAUAGGAGUAGCUGUGCCCCCAUGCUAGACUCUCCAAACAAGCUCUUUUGUUUUUUAAGACGGAGUCUCACUCUGUCGCUAGGCUGGAGUGCAAUGGUACGAUCUCAGCUCACUG
rfam:Pongo abelii chromosome 13.